UACGUAGGGUGCAAGCGUUAAUCGGAAUUACUGGGCGUAAAGCGUGCGUAGGCGGUUAUGCAAGACAGAUGUGAAAUCCCCGGGCUCAACCUGGGAACUGCAUUUGUGACUGCAUGGCUAGAGUACGGUAGAGGGGGAUGGAAUUCCGCGUGUAGCAGUGAAAUGCGUAGAUAUGCGGAGGAACACCGAUGGCGAAGGCAAUCCCCUGGGCCUGCACUGACGCUCAUGCACGAAAGCGUGGGGAGCAAACAGG
rnacentral:rRNA from 1 species